GUGGAGCAUGUGGCUUAAUUUGACCCAACGCGGGAAAUCUUACCGGGUCCGGACACACUGAGGAUUGACAGGCAAUCGUUCAUUCCAUUAAAUUUUUAAUUUAUUGGGUGAACUCUAAAUAUGCUAGUCCUUUCAUGAUUAUGUGAUAGAUGGUGCAUGGCCGUUCUUAGUUCGUGGAGUGAUCUGUCUGCUUAAUUGCGUUUCACUAAGGGCCUAUAUAAUUAACGUGCGUUUGUAAGCACAUUGACCCCUCAUG
rnacentral:rRNA from 1 species